rnacentral:rRNA from 1 species
GAAUGCUGACAUAAGUAACGAUAAAGCGGGUGAAAAGCCCGCUCGCCGGAAGACCAAGGGUUCCUGUCCAACGUUAAUCGGGGCAGGGUGAGUCGACCCCUAAGGCGAGGCCGAAAGGCGUAGUCGAUGGGAAACAGGUUAAUAUUCCUGUACUUGGUGUUACUGCGAAGGGGGGACGGAGAAGGCUAUGUUGGCCGGGCGACGGUUGUCCCGGUUUAAGCGUGUAGGCUGGUUUUCCAGGCAAAUCCGGAAAAUCAAGGCUGAGGCGUGAUGACGAGGCACUACGGUGCUGAAGCGACAAAUGCCCUGCUUCCAGGAAAAGCCUCUAAGCAUCAGGUAACAUCAAAUCGUACCCCAAACCGACACAGGUGGUCAGGUAGAGAAUACCAAGGCGCUUGAGAGAACUCGGGUGAAGGAACUAGGCAAAAUGGUGCCGUAACUUCGGGAGAAGGCACGCUGAUAUGUAGGUGAAGCGACUUGCUCGUGGAGCUGAAAUCAGUCGAAGAUACCAGCUGGCUGCAACUGUUUAUUAAAAACACAGCACUGUGCAAACACGAAAGUGGACGUAUACGGUGUGACGCCUGCCCGGUGCCGGAAGGUUAAUUGAUGGGGUUAGCGGUAACGCGAAGCUCUUGAUCGAAGCCCCGGUAAACGGCGGCCGUAACUAUAACGGUCCUAAGGUAGCGAAAUUCCUUGUCGGGUAAGUUCCGACCUGCACGAAUGGCGUAAUGAUGGCCAGGCUGUCUCCACCCGAGACUCAGUGAAAUUGAACUCGCUGUGAAGAUGCAGUGUACCCGCGGCAAGACGGAAAGACCCCGUGAACCUUUACUAUAGCUUGACACUGAACAUUGAGCCUUGAUGUGUAGGAUAGGUGGGAGGCUUUGAAGUGUGGACGCCAGUCUGCAUGGAGCCGACCUUGAAAUACCACCCUUUAAUGUUUGAUGUUCUAACGUGGGCCCCUUACCGGGGUUGCGGACAGUGUCUGGUGGGUAGUUUGACUGGGGCGGUCUCCUCCUAAAGAGUAACGGAGGAGCACGAAGGUUGGCUAAUCCUGGUCGGACAUCAGGAGGUUAGUGCAAUGGCAUAAGCCAGCUUGACUGCGAGCGUGACGGCGCGAGCAGGUGCGAAAGCAGGUCAUAGUGAUCCGGUGGUUCUGAAUGGAAGGGCCAUCGCUCAACGGAUAAAAGGUACUCCGGGGAUAACAGGCUGAUACCGCCCAAGAGUUCAUAUCGACGGCGGUGUUUGGCACCUCGAUGUCGGCUCAUCACAUCCUGGGGCUGAAGUAGGUCCCAAGGGUAUGGCUGUUCGCCAUUUAAAGUGGUACGCGAGCUGGGUUUAGAACGUCGUGAGACAGUUCGGUCCCUAUCUGCCGUGGGCGCUGGAGAACUGAGGGGGGCUGCUCCUAGUACGAGAGGACCGGAGUGGACGCAUCACUGGUGUUCGGGUUGUCAUGCCAAUGGCACUGCCCGGUAGCUAAAUGCGGAAGAGAUAAGUGCUGAAAGCAUCUAAGCACGAAACUUGCCCCGAGAUGAGUUCUCCCUGACUCCUUGAGAGUCCUGAAGGAACGUUGAAGACGACGACGUUGAUAGGCCGGGUGUGUAAGCGCAGCGAUGCGUUGAGCUAAC